rnacentral:tRNA from 1 species
GCGCCCGUAGCUCAAUUGGAUAGAGCACCACACUACGGAUGUGGGGGUUGCAGGUUCAACUCCUGCCGGGCGCG